AUUGAACGCUGGCGGCAGGCCUAACACAUGCAAGUCGAGCGGAGCGGCGGACGGGUGAGUAAUGCAUAGGAAUCUACCUGGUAGUGGGGGAUAACGUCCGGAAACGGACGCUCAUACCGCAUACUCUCAGAUGAGCCUAGUUCUGAUGAGCUGGUUGGGUGGUUAAAGGCCUACCAAGACGACGAUCCGUAACUGGUCUGAGAGGAUGAUCAGUCACACUGGAACUGAGACACGGUCCAGAAUCCUACGGGAGGCAGCAGUGGGGAAGAUUGGACAAUGGGCGAAAGCCGGGUCCAGCCAUGCCGCGUGUGUGAAGAAGGUCUUCGGAUUGGAAAGCACUUUAAGUUGGGAGGCGUUACCAACAGAAUAAGCACCGGCUAACUUCGGGCCAGCAGCCGCGGUAAUUC
rnacentral:rRNA from 1 species